rnacentral:misc_RNA from 1 species
CAGGACUCGCAAGACUCCUACAACCCUGUGAACCUACUAUACGAACGUUGCUUCGGCGGGUGCGCCCCGGGGAUUCGUUCCCGCGGAGCGUCAGCCCGCCGGCAGCCUACAAAUUCUGUUUCUUUGCGUUGGCAUCUCGAGAAAAACAAAUAAGUUA